CAUGCAAGUCGAACGCGUCUUGGGGGCAACUCCAAGAUGAGUGGCGAACGGGUGAGUAGCACGUGGGUAAUCUCCCCCCGAGUGAGGGAUAAGCCCCCGAAAGGGGGUCUAAUACCGCAUAACACCCUGGGGCAUAAGCUUCCAGGGUCGAAGCCGCAAGGCGCUUGGGGAUGAGCCUGCGUCCUAUUAGCUAGUUGGUAGGGUAACGGCCUACCAAGGUUAUGAUGGGUAGCCGACCUGAGAGGGUGAUCGGCCACACUGGGACUGAGACACGGCCCAGACUCCUACGGGAGGCAGCAGUGAGGAAUUUUGCGCAAUGGGGGAAACCCUGACGCAGUAACGCCGCGUGGGUGAUGAAGGCCCUCGGGUCUUAAAGCCCUGUCAGGUGGGAAGAAACCUGUCGAUGCAAAUAUCAUCGGCAAUUGACGG
rnacentral:rRNA from 1 species